rnacentral:rRNA from 1 species
UACGGAGGGAGCUAGCGUUGUUCGGAAUUACUGGGCGUAAAGCGCACGUAGGCGGCUUUGUAAGUUAGAGGUGAAAGCCCGGGGCUCAACUCCGGAACUGCCUUUAAGACUGCAUCGCUUGAAUCCAGGAGAGGUGAGUGGAAUUCCGAGUGUAGAGGUGAAAUUCGUAGAUAUUCGGAAGAACACCAGUGGCGAAGGCGGCUCACUGGAGCUGGUAUUGACGCUGAGGUGCGAAAAGCGUGGGGGAGCAAACAGGG